rnacentral:rRNA from 1 species
AUACGGAGGGUGCAAGCGUUAAUCGGAAUUACUGGGCGUAAAGCGUACGUAGGCGGUUAUUUAAGUCAGAUGUGAAAGCCCCGGGCUUGACUUGGGAACUGCAUUUGAAACUGGGUAACUAGAGUUUAGUAGAGGGGAGUGGAAUUUCAGGUGUAGCGGUGAAAUGCGUAGAGAUCUGAAGGAACACCAGUGGCGAAGGCGACUCCCUGGACUAAAACUGACGCUGAGGUACGAAAGCGUGGGUAGCAAACAGGAUUAGAAACCCCGGUAGUCC